GACGAACGCUGGCGGCGUGCUUAACACAUGCAAGUCGAACGGAAAGGCCCUGCUUUUGUGGGGUGCUCGAGUGGCGAACGGGUGAGUAACACGUGAGUAACCUGCCCUUGACUUUGGGAUAACUUCAGGAAACUGGGGCUAAUACCGGAUAGGAGCUCCUGCUGCAUGGUGGGGGUUGGAAAGUUUCGGCGGUUGGGGAUGGACUCGCGGCUUAUCAGCUUGUUGGUGGGGUAGUGGCUUACCAAGGCUUUGACAGGUAGCCGGCCUGAGAGGGUGACCGGCCACAUUGGGACUGAGAUACGGCCCAGACUCCUACGGGAGGCAGCAGUGGGGAAUAUUGCACAAUGGGCGGAAGCUUGAUGCAGCAACGCCGCGUGCGGGAUGACGGCCUUCGGGUUGUAAACCGCUUUCGCCUGUGACGAAGCGUGAGUGACGGUAAUGGGUAAAGAAGCACCGGCUAACUACGUG
rnacentral:rRNA from 1 species